rfam:Salmo salar isolate Sally breed double haploid chromosome ssa16, whole genome shotgun sequence.
UCCCGUGUGGCUCAGUUGGUAGAGCAUGGUUUUUGCAACACCAGGGUUGUGGGUUCAAUUCCCACAGGGGAC